GUUAUCUGGUGGAUGGCGGCGAAGUAGGCGUCUUUGUUGGGAGCUAAUGUCUGGACGCUGCAGCGGCGGGAGAGAGGAAGUGUGACCGCGGCGGAGGUGGCUCUAGAGAGAAGCAGUGCGGUGGAGCGGAGCAUCCCGACAAUCGGCAACCGAAUCGAGGAGAACUAAACAUGGUCUCGCUAUAACCGGUUGGUAUUGAGACCCUCUGGUUCUAUGGAGGAUCCGAAUCCAUUGGAAACAGAGUUCAGAGUUGAAGUUGUGACAGAGCUAUUUUCCUGAACAGAGCUACUGAAUGAAGCUCUUCUUCUGCUUCGCUCUUGAUAAAGUAGUGCUCACUUGGCAUCAUUCGGACUCCAAACAUGAAUCACAGACGCUAUGGUAUUCUGUGGUCUGUGAUGACAUUUCCAAUCAAGCUAAAUAUGAAUCAACCGAAGCUUUCCAAACUUUGCCAAGCAGCAAUCUUUUUACUUCUUGUAGUGUGAUA
rnacentral:lncRNA from 1 species